ACCUGAGUGUCUCAGUUGGUUAAGUGUCUGACUUCAGCUCAGGUCAUCAUCUCAUGGUUUGUGGGUUUGAGCCCCACAUCAGGCU
rnacentral:tRNA from 1 species